UACGAAGGGGGCUAGCGUUGUUCGGAUUCACUGGGCUUAAAGGGCGCGUAGGCGGAUCACCAAGUCCGGGGUGAAAUCUUUCGGCUCAACCGGAAAAGUGCCUUGGAUACUGGUGGUCUGGAGGGAGGUAGGGGCAUGCGGAACUUCCGGUGGAGCGGUGAAAUGCGUAGAUAUCGGAAGGAACGCCGGUGGCGAAAGCGGCGUGCUGGACCUCUUCUGACGCUGAGGCGCGAAAGCCAGGGGAGCAAACGGG
rnacentral:rRNA from 1 species